CGCCGCUGCUAUGGGCGCCACUGUUGUUGUGAAGCCCCGACGCCGCCGCUCACUCCGCCAUGUUGCCGCCCCCUGCCUGCGGUAGCGGCCACUGCGCCUGCGCAGAGCCUCCGGGGGGCGGAGCCCUGGCGGCACCCCCUCUUUCGCCCUGCCCUCCUUCUCCUUCCACCCACCCACCCCGACACCCCUUGUCCCUCCCCCAACCACUCUGAACGGAUAGACAGGGGGAGAUUCAUCUUCGUCGUCGCACCCAGCUGCUGCUACUGCCAGUGCCACGUGCCUUGCAAGAUAAAGAAGCACCAGCAGAGCUGGCGAGCAGAAACCUGGCCUCAGGGCAAAAGAGAUGCCACAGAAAUAGUUACACAGGCCUCGGAAGGGAAGCCUCCACUGCGUGUACGGCCCCCGUGGACUGCCACAGGUAACGAUGGCAUCAGUGUGGCAGGGCACUUGGUAAACCAUACAAUGUUCUGCAGAUCAAUUAGUCCCAAGAAGGUGCUCCCAGAGUUCAGGGAGCAUCCGUGUCUUUUGGAGCCACCUCUUACCUAG
rnacentral:lncRNA from 1 species